CGCGGACACGCGUGGUGUGCGCGGUCCCCGUGCAGCCCGCCCUGCCGCAGGCUGCCCUCCACCCCCAGCCCCAGCUCCAGCCCCCAGCCCGUCCCCACUGCUCAUAUCCGAGCAGAUAGACCCCGGCCCCACCCUCCCGUGCUGAGCCUCCUUUCUGCCGGGAAGUUCGUCCGGGAGUCAAACAUCGCUGCCCUCCGGUUGCGCCACGGAGGGGGAGCCAGGAUAGGAAGCUGCCGUGAAAUCAGGAAGCUGAGCGCGCCGGGCCCCGGAUCCGAACAGAAAAGGCUUCCACCCGCUCCCCUGAGGGAUCCCACGCUGAGGGACUGAACCCCGCACCCCAGCCGCGCUCACCACCCCCACCCUCUCGCCUGGGCUGCUCUGACCUGGGGAUUCCAGAACUGCCACUCAAAGUGCCCUAUGAGGAGCUGUGGUAACAAGGAAAUGUUCUCAUGACUCAAAAAUCAGUGGAAAAAGGUACAGGAUGAGAAGCCUUGUUUCCCAACCCUAUCAACAGAGCCGCACGCACCCACCCCAUGUCAAAAGUAACACAGUAUCGACACAAAAAGAGCCUGGAUCCCUCACAUGGACAGCCCUGAUCUGCUGAUUCUGAGUGCUGUGUGACAGAAAAGCAAAACUUUUAUAUUGUUAAACAAGAUCUUGCUCUGUUGACCAAGCUGGAGUGCAGUGGUGCAAUCAUAGCUCAUGGCAGCCUUAAACUCCUGAGCUCAAGCCAUCCUCCCACCUCACCCUUCCAAGUACAGGUGAGCACCACCAUGCCUGGCUAAUUAAAAAAAAAUUGUUUUUUGUAGACAGGGUCUUGCUAUAUUGCCCAGGCUGGUCUCAAACUCCUGGGUUCAAGCAAUCCUCCUGCCUGGGCCUCCCUAAGUACUGGGAUUACUGGUAUGAGCCACCAUGCUUGGUCAUACUUCUACUCUUCAGCAAUCUACUAUUUUUCUUUUCUUUUCUUUUUUUUUUUUUUUGAGACAGGGUCUCACUCCGUCACCCAGGCUGACAUGCAGUGGUAUAAUCUCUACUCACUGCAACCUCUGCUUCCCAGGCUCAAGCAGUCCUUCAGUCUCAGCCUCCCAAAUAGCUGGGACUACAGGCAAAAACUAAGAGAGCCACCAUGCCCAGCUAAUUUUUUUAUUUUUUGUAGAGAUGGGGUUUCGCCAUGUAGGCCAGGCUGGUCUCGAACUCCUGACCUCAAAAUGAUACACCCGCGUCUGCCUCCCAAAGUGCUGGGAUUACAGGCGUGAGCUAUUUUUAAUUCUUAAUAGAAAAUAACCCUGUUAUCUAAAGCAUGGAUUCACUACAAAAUAAAGAUUAAGGUCCAUCAAGGCUUUCUAGUAACACUUAUUUAAAAAAAAAAAAAAAAAAGAUCAAUCAAGGCUAAAAACAUUAAAAAGAGAGAGAAGGCAACCAAAUUUCCAGGAUUAUCUCAUCCCUUUGCUCGAAACCCUUUAAUAUCUUCCUACCUCACUGAGUCAGUCCUACAGGCCAUUUCUUACUAUUCUCUUUCCUCUUCUACUCCAGCCACACUGGGCACCCUGCUGUCCCUCAAACAUGCAAGUACAGUCCUCCAUUGUUUAAUAACCAGGACGGAUUCUGAGAAAUGUGUAAUUAGGCAAUUUCGUCAUUGUGUGAACAUCAUGGAAUGUAUUUAAACACACCUAGAUGGUACGGCCUACUACACACCUAAGCUAUAUAGUCUAUUUGCUCCUAGGCUACAAACCUGUACAGGAUGUUACUCCACUGAAUACCGUAGGCAACUUUAACACAAUGAAGUAUUUGUAUAUCUAAACACAGCUAAACAUUAAAAAGUUACCAAAAAAAGGUAUUAUAUAUAAGACCAUUGUUAAAGAUAGAAAUGUCAUUUGGCGCCUGACUGUAUACUACUCCUCACCUCAGGGCUGUGCUGUUUCCCUCUACCACGAAUGCUCUUCUUAAAUACGGCUCACUUCAUCUCCUUCUGAUACCUGCUUAAAUCUCAUCUUCUCAAAAUGGCCUUGUCUGACCAACUUAUUAAAAUAGUAUCCCAACUACAAGUCACUGUUAUUUUUUUCCUAGUUGUCCGUCUUCCCCCCAAUAGAAUAUAAACUAUAAAAGGAAGAGGCCUUUGUUUUAUGCGCUGCUCUAUCUCCAGACCCUAGAACAGUAGCAGGCUCUCAUAAGAAUAUGCAGAACAAGA
rnacentral:lncRNA from 1 species